AUUGAACGCUGGCGGCAGGCUUAACACAUGCAAGUCGAGCGAGCGGCGGACGGGUGAGUAAUGUAUGGGGAACUGCCCGAUAGAGGGGGAUAACUACUGGAAACGGUGGCUAAUACCGCAUACCAUCGGAUGUGCCCAGAUGGGAUUAGCUAGUAGGUGGGGUAAUGGCUCACCUAGGCGACGAUCCCUAGCUGGUCUGAGAGGAUGACCAGCCACAAUGGGACUGAGACACGGCCCAGACUCCUACGGGAGGCAGCAGUGGGGAAUAUUGCACAAUGGGCGCAAGCCUGAUGCAGCCAUGCCGCGUGUAUGAAGAAGGCCUUCGGGUUGUAAAGUACUUUCAGCGGGGAGGCGUUACCCGCAGAAGAAGCACCGGCUAACUCCGUGCCAGCAGCCGCGGUAAUUC
rnacentral:rRNA from 1 species